GACGAACGCUGGCGGCGUGCUUAACACAUGCAAGUCGAACGGAAAGGCUCCAGCUUGCUGGCGUACUCGAGUGGCGAACGGGUGAGUAACACGUGGGUAAUCUGCCCUGCACUCUGGGAUAAGCCUGGGAAACUGGGUCUAAUACUGGAUAUGACCUUUCUCCUUAUGGGGUUUGGUGGAAAGUUUUUCGGUGUAGGAUGAGCCCGCGGCCUAUCAGCUUGUUGGUGGGGUGAUGGCCUACCAAGGCGACGACGGGUAGCCGGCCUGAGGGGGUGAUCGGCCACAUUGGGACUGAGAUACGGCCAAGACCCCUACGGGAGGAGGGAGGGGGAAAUAUGGCAAAAGGGGGGGAGCCCUGAUGCAGCGCGCCCGGGGGGGGGAGGACGGCCUUCGGGUUGUAAACCUGUUUCAGCGGGGAGGAAGGGAAAGUGAGGGUCCCUGCAAAAAAAGCCCGGGCAACUUAUGUG
rnacentral:rRNA from 1 species